UCUCAGCAUCUAAUUCAAUCCUAGAGCUGGGUACCGAACUUCGGUUCUUUUGUGGCACCAACCGAAAUGCUUUGGUAGUACAGAGUAUCAAAACAUGCCUUGUCUUUCGGUGCCAAGUUUCGGUACCCAGAGGUUAAUUAUGUGCAAGAAGAGCGGUCCGCAGCUGUCCUCCUCUCAGCAUUCAAGUCCGCCUGUGGAUGUUACAGAGCACGA